ensembl:snRNA U6 U6 spliceosomal RNA
GUGCUCACUUCAGCAGCACAUACACUAAAAUUAAAAUGACACAGAGAUUGGCAUGGCCCCUGCGCAAGGAUGACACACAAAUUUGUGAAGCAUUUCAUAUUUAA